GCCCAGGUGGCGAAAUUGGUAGACGCGCUACUUUGAGGUGGUAGUGGCCGAAAGGCUGUGCUGGUUCGAAUCCAGUCUUGGGCACAA
rnacentral:tRNA from 1 species